UACGGAGGGUGCAAGCGUUAUCCGGAUUCACUGGGUUUAAAGGGUGCGUAGGUGGUUUGGUAAGUCCGUGGUGAAAUCUCCGAGCUUAACUCGGAAACUGCCGUGGAUACUAUCAAUCUUGAAUACUGUGGAGGUAAGCGGAAUAUGUCAUGUAGCGGUGAAAUGCUUAGAUAUGACAUAGAACACCGAUAGCGGAGGCAGCUUGCUACACAGUCAUUGACACUGAGGCACGAAAGCGUGGGGAUCAAACAGG
rnacentral:rRNA from 1 species